AGGAAAAGAAACUAACAAGGAUUCCCCUAGUAACGGCGAGCGAAGCGGGAAGAGCUCAAAUUUGAAAGCUGGCACCUCCGGUGUCCGCGUUGUAAUCUCGAGACGUGUUUUCCGUGCGGCUCUAUGGACAAGUCCCUUGGAAUAGGGCAUCGUAGAGGGUGAGAAUCCCGUACUUGCCAUGGAAGAACCGUGCUUUGCGAUACACGCUCUAAGAGUCGAGUUGUUUGGGAUUGCAGCUCAAAAUGGGUGGUAGACUCCAUCUAAAGCUAAAUAUCGGGGAGAGACCGAUAGCGAACAAGUACCGUGAGGGAAAGAUGAAAAGCACUUUGGAAAGAGAGUUAAAAGUACGUGAAAUUGUCGAAAGGGAAGCACUUGAAGUCAGCCAUGCUGCUUGAGACUCAGCCUGGCCUUUGGGCUUGGUGUAUUUCUCGGUGGCAAGCCAGCAUUGGUUUGGGUCGUCGGAGAAGCGCAUAGGGAAUGUAGCGUCUCCGGACGUGUUAUAGCCUUAUGCAGGAUACGACGACCUGGAUCAAGGAACGCAGUGUGCCCUCUGGG
rnacentral:rRNA from 1 species